rnacentral:rRNA from 1 species
AUACAUGCAGUCGAGCGAACAGAAGGGAGCUUGCUCCCGGAUGUUAGCGGCGGACGGGUGAGUAACACGUGGGUAACCUGCCUGUAAGACUGGGAUAACUCCGGGAAACCGGAGCUAAUACCGGAUAGUUCCUUGAACCGCAUGGUUCAAGGAUGAAAGACGGUUUCGGCUGUCACUUACAGAUGGACCCGCGGCGCAUUAGCUAGUUGGUGGGGUAAUGGCUCACCAAGGCGACGAUGCGUAGCCGACCUGAGAGGGUGAUCGGCCACACUGGGACUGAGACACGGCCCAGACUCCUACGGGAGGCAGCAGUAGGGAAUCUUCCGCAAUGGACGAAAGUCUGACGGAGCAACGCCGCGUGAGUGAUGAAGGUUUUCGGAUCGUAAAGCUCUGUUGUUAGGGAAGAACAAGUGCGAGAGUAACUGCUCGCACCUUGACGGUACCUAACCAGAAAGCCACGGCUAACUACGUGCCAGCAGCCGCGGUAAUACGUAGGUGGCAAGCGUUGUCCGGAUUAUUGGGCGUAAAGGGCUCGCAGGCGGUUCUUAAGUCUGAUGUGAAGCCCCGGCUCACCGGGGAGGGUCAUUGGAAACUGGGAACUUGAGUGCAAAAAGGAGAAG